CAGUCGAGCGGAACGAUCCUAGCUUGCUAGGAGGCGUCGAGCGGCGGACGGGUGAGUAAUGCAUAGGAAUCUACCCAGUCGUGGGGGAUAACCUGAGGAAACUCAGGCUAAUACCGCAUACGUCCUACGGGAGAAAGCGGGGGCUCUUCGGACCUCGCGCGAUUGGAUGAGCCUAUGUCGGAUUAGCUUGUUGGUAAGGUAACGGCUUACCAAGGCGACGAUCCGUAGCUGGUCUGAGAGGAUGAUCAGCCACACCGGGACUGAGACACGGCCCGGACUCCUACGGGAGGCAGCAGUGGGGAAUAUUGGACAAUGGGCGAAAGCCUGAUCCAGCCAUGCCGCGUGUGUGAAGAAGGCUUUCGGGUUGUAAAGCACUUUCAGCGAGGAAGAAAGCGUGCCGGCCAAUACCCGGUACGGACGACAUCACUCGCAGAAGAAGCACCGGCUAACUCCGUGCCAGCAGCCGCGGUAAUACGGAGGGUGCAAGCGUUAAUCGGAAUUACUGGGCGUAAAGCGCGCGUAGGCGGCGUGUCACGCCGGGUGUGAAAGCCCCGGGCUCAACCUGGGAACGGCAUCCGGAACGGGCAGGCUAGAGUGCAGGAGAGGAAGGUAGAAUUCCCGGUGUAGCGGUGAAAUGCGUAGAGAUCGGGAGGAAUACCAGUGGCGAAGGCGGCCUUCUGGACUGACACUGACGCUGAGGUGCGAAAGCGUGGGUAGCAAACAGGAUUAGAUACCCUGGUAGUCCACGCCGUAAACGAUGUCGACUAGCCGUUGGGUCCCUUGAGGACUUAGUGGCGCAGUUAACGCGAUAAGUCGACCGCCUGGGGAGUACGGCCGCAAGGUUAAAACUCAAAUGAAUUGACGGGGGCCCGCACAAGCGGU
rnacentral:rRNA from 1 species